UACGGAGGGAGCGAGCGUUAUUCGGAAUUAUUGGGCGUAAAGGGCGCGUAGGCGGCUCGAUAAGUCAAAGGUGAAAUCCCUCGGCUCAACUGAGGAACUGCCUUUGAAACUGUCGAGCUUGAGUCCGGGAGGGGGUAGCGAAUUCCCAGUGUAGCGGUGAAAUGCGUAGAUAUUGGGAGGAACACCAGUGGCGAAGGCGGCUACCUGGACCGGAACUGACGCUGAGGAGCGAAAGCAUGGGAGCGAACAGG
rnacentral:rRNA from 1 species